GACAGAGGGUGCAAACGUUGUUCGGAAUUACUGGGCGUAAAGCGCGUGUAGGCUGCUUCGCAAGUCGGAUGUGAAAGCCCUGGGCUCAACCCAGGAAGUGCAUUCGAAACUGCAGAGCUGGAGUCCUGGAGAGGAAGGCGGAAUUCUCGGUGUAGAGGUGAAAUUCGUAGAUAUCGAGAGGAACACCGGUGGCGAAGGCGGUCUUCUGGACGGUGACUGACGCUGAGGCGCGAAAGCGUGGGGAGCAAACGGG
rnacentral:rRNA from 1 species